GAGGAUUUAGCUCAGUGGCAUAAGUGCCUGCCUGGCAAGCAUGAGGUUGUGACUUCAAUCCUCG
rfam:Cavia porcellus supercont2_166 genomic scaffold, whole genome shotgun sequence.